ACGCUGGCGGCAGGCCUAACACAUGCAAGUCGAGCGGUAGAGAGAAGCUUGCUUCUCUUGAGAGCGGCGGACGGGUGAGUAAUGCCUAGGAAUCUGCCUGGUAGUGGGGGAUAACGUUCGGAAACGGACGCUAAUACCGCAUACGUCCUACGGGAGAAAGCAGGGGACCUUCGGGCCUUGCGCUAUCAGAUGAGCCUAGGUCGGAUUAGCUAGUUGGUGAGGUAAUGGCUCACCAAGGCGACGAUCCGUAACUGGUCUGAGAGGAUGAUCAGUCACACUGGAACUGAGACACGGUCCAGACUCCUACGGGAGGCAGCAGUGGGGAAUAUUGGACAAUGGGCGAAAGCCUGAUCCAGCCAUGCCGCGUGUGUGAAGAAGGUCUUCGGAUUGUAAAGCACUUUAAGUUGGGAGGAAGGGUUGUAGAUUAAUACUCUGCAAUUUUGACGUUACCGACAGAAUAAGCACCGGCUAACUCUGUGCCAGCAGCCGCGGUAAUACAGAGGGUGCAAGCGUUAAUCGGAAUUACUGGGCGUAAAGCGCGCGUAGGUGGUUUGUUAAGUUGGAUGUGAAAUCCCCGGGCUCAACCUGGGAACUGCAUUCAAAACUGACUGACUAGAGUAUGGUAGAGGGUGGUGGAAUUUCCUGUGUAGCGGUGAAAUGCGUAGAUAUAGGAAGGAACACCAGUGGCGAAGGCGACCACCUGGACUAAUACUGACACUGAGGUGCGAAAGCGUGGGGAGCAAACAGGAUUA
rnacentral:rRNA from 1 species